CGAGAGCGGUGGUGAAUCGAGUGGAAUUAUUAAUGCGAGCAAUGGUCCACCGGAAGUUGGUAGUAUGGGGGAACAUGGGCAACAGAAUCAAAUCAAAUUUCAGUAUCUUCUUUAAAACCUAAGUUGCCAAAACUCACCUUGCCUAAAUUCAAGGGUCAAGUCACCAAAUGGGUCCCUUUUGGGACUCAUAUAAUUCGGCUAUACACAAUAACAGUGUAAUUUCAAAGAUCGAAUUAUCUUAAUUCCUUACUUGAAGGUGCGGCCCUGCGUGCAAUCCAAGGUUUAACAUUGACGCAGCAAUCGAAAUUCUAAAGGACCGUUUUGGGAGACCCCAACAAAUAAUCACAGCCCAUAUGGAUGAGAUCCUGAAAAUACCAG